rnacentral:rRNA from 1 species
GCCUGCAUAAAUACUCUAAAGAUCCCAGAUCCCAUCUGAUCUUGGAAGCUAAGAAGGUUUCAGCUCUGGUAAGUACUUAGGUGGAUCACCUAUGAGUACUAGAUGCUGUAGGCU